rnacentral:rRNA from 1 species
AAUUAACUGUACACGGCGUAAAGAGUGGUAUCAUGCUAUCGUAAUAUCUAAGACCAAGGUGCAACUAAGCUGUCAUAAGCUCAAGAUGCAUACAAGCUCUCCUUGACUAAAAAUGAUCUUAGUAUCGAGAUAUAUUUAAUUCCACGAAAGCUAGGACUCAAACUGGGAUUAGAUACCCCACUAUGCCUAGCCAUAAAUCUUGAUGUCUUCCAUAUACCUAGACAUCCGCCAGAGAACUACGAGCACAAACGCUUAAAACUCUAAGGACUUGGCGGUGCCCCAAACCCACCUAGAGGAGCCUGUUCUAUAAUCGAUAACCCACGUUACACCCGACCACUCCUUGCCAGAAGCAGCCUACAUACCGCCGUCGCCAGCUCACCUCCAAUGAGAGCUAUAUAGUGAGCACAAUAGUCCACAACCCACUAACAAGACAGGUCGAGGUAUAGCUAAUGGAGUGGAAGAAAUGGGCUACAUUUUCUAACAAUAGAUAACCAUACGGAAGGGGGCAUGAAACUGGCCCCCCGAAGGCGGAUUUAGCAGUAAAGCUGGACAAUACAAGCCUACUUUAAACUGGCCCUGGGGCACGUACAUACCGCCCGUCACCCUCCUCACAGGCUACAAUCAUCAUAAUACAUAAUACGAAUAAAGC